rnacentral:rRNA from 1 species
GGGGAAUAUUGCACAAUGGGCGCAAGCCUGAUGCAGCAACGCCGCGUGAGGGAUGAAGGCCUUCGGGUUGUAAACCUCUUUUAGUAGGGAAGAAGCGAAAGUGACGGUACCUGCAGAAAAAGCACCGGCUAACUACGUGCCAGCAGCCGCGGUAAUACGUAGGGUGCAAGCGUUGUCCGGAAUUAUUGGGCGUAAAGAGCUCGUAGGCGGCUUGUCGCGUCUGCUGUGAAAUCCCGGGGCUCAACCCCGGGCCUGCAGUGGGUACGGGCAAGCUAGAGUGCGGUAGGGGAGAUUGGAAUUCCUGGUGUAGCGGUGGAAUGCGCAGACAUCAGGAGGAACACCGAUGGCGAAGGCAGAUCUCUGGGCCGCGACUGACGCUGAGGAGCGAAAGCAUGGGGAGCGAAC